rnacentral:rRNA from 1 species
UACGUAGGUGACCAGCGUUGUCCGGAUUUACUGGGCGUAAAGAGCGCGCAGGCGGUCGUUCAAGUCGAGUGUGAAAGCCCCCGGCUCAACUGGGGAGGGUCAUUCGAUACUGAUCGACUGGAAGGCAGGAGAGGGAAGCGGAAUUCCCGGUGUAGUGGUGAAAUGCGUAGAUAUCGGGAGGAACACCAGUGGCGAAGGCGGCUUACUGGCCCGGACCUGACGCUGAGGCGCGAAAGCGUGGGAGCAAACAGG